GAUUUGCAAACCCAGAUAGAUUAAAAAAAAAGAAAAAAAAGAAGCAAAACUACACACAAAAGCAAGAACAAAAGUAAAAAGACCACAUCGUUAUUUCUUCCAAUCUCUGAUUGAGAUUUAGCAUUUUCCUCCACUGGGAACAUAAGCGCUUUCCUAUCAGCCACUGCAUCUUUAUUUCAUCUCGCAGCUUCUUCUGCAGGAAUGACUUCGUUCUACCACCCUUUGCUGCCAUCUCAGGACGUCGGGAAGCAAAGAGAUGUGUCGGCUUGAUCAGCACACAGGUCAUUCCUAGAGAGAUCAGCUUAGUCACGGAGCAGGCAGGAACAGGCACUCUGGAGGGGAGAGGCAGGCCCAGGAAGGUGAGUCAAGGCAGGGAUUGAAACUGCAGGAUGAGGGAGUCAGCGCCUGAGAACCCACUGGGCGGAGUUAGAUAAGGAGAAACACGCGGAAUCCAGAGUUUAAAUGGAGCCUGGGGUUUGUAAAGAGGAGUCAGGCGUUCUUUACCUUGUCAAUUCCGACUGCUUUGUGCACAGCUGACUCAGAGACUGGGUGGGGCUGCCGUCCUGGGUGAAACCAAACCGAUUAGAAAGGCGGCUGGGGCCUCCAGAUCCUGCGGGCCGCACCCUCCCAGCAUGAAGGGUAUGCUUCAUCUGUGAAACCAACUCUCCUUCGUGAAGGAGAAAUGCCCAUUUUAAAGAAAAUCGCUUCACAGCUGAGGAGGCAUGAUGUUUGCAUGCAACAGAGGCAGCAUAAAAGUUCUUAAACAAUCUCUGUGCCAAGAACCUCUUUAGCAGUCUGGUGAAGCCUGUGGGCCCCUUCUAACAAUAAUAUUUUUAAAUCCAUAACAUAAAUACAUCGGGCACCAAGGAAACCAGUUAUAUUGAAAUAGCUAUCAAAGGAAACCAAAUAUCUUGAAAUACAGUUAUCAAAAUAUUGAAGUAAUUGUGAUCUAGUCCUACGUGUGCCUCUUGAUUAACUCUUUAAGUAACAAGGUCUAGUACAAUUCAGAAGUCCAUAGUACUCACACCAAUGACAUUUUAAGGCAUUUGUCACAACCGCAACGUGUUGUGGGGACAUUUGCAUUUUCUGUUGGUGACCAAGGGGCAUUCAUGUUAUACCUUUAUUGAAAGAACAGUGUGGCCCCCUGCAUCUUGUGGAAUAGUGGGAUGAUUACAAGGGGAGUUUCGCUAGAAAGCAGCAUUCAUUGAUGUUGCUGAUGGACUUACGGGAGUCAAACAUUCCAAUUUUCAAAUUCAGAGCUGUGAUACUGGCUGGGCCUGGCGGCUCACGCCUGUAAUCCCAGCACUUUGGGAGGCCAAGGCGGGUGAAUCACUUGAGGUCAGGAGUUCAAGACCAGCCUGGUCAACAUGGUGAAACCCCAUCUCUACUAAAAGUACAAAAAUUAGCCGGGCGUGGUGGCAUGCACCUGUAAUCCUAGCUACUCAGGAGGCUGAGGCAGGAGAAUUGCUUGAACCCGGGAGAUGGAGGUUGCAGUGAGCCGAGAUCAUGCCGCUGCACGAUUGCACUCCAGCUUGGGUGACAGAGCAAGACUCCACCAAAAAAAAAAAAAAA
ensembl:lncRNA